AUGCAUAUGCAGAGCUGCCUGCCUAUCCACCACCUCCAACGGCAGGGUUGGUUGGUGGAGAGCUCCUCCUACAAUAGACUGUGUGCCUCUGAUUUUUCUUCAGCAUUCCAAGUUUUAGCAGCCAUGGCACUUACGCUUGUGUUCUCCUCUCUCCUCGUUUUCUGUCUCAAUGGCGUGAGCUCCGAUUCAAGCUACUUCACCUCCUUGUUUACUCUCGGAGAUUCCUACUUUGACACUGGCAAUUUCCUGAUCAUGGCUGAUCCGGCGAUACCCGAGUAUAAUGGCAACCCACCCUACGGCAUGACCUUCUUUGGCCGCCCCACUGGCCGCCUCUGUGAUGGGAGAGUCACCGUCGAUUUCAUCGCCGAGCAGUUUGGUCUGCCACUUCUUCAAGCCUCCAUGUUGAAUAGCUCGGACGUGUCUAAAGGCGUAAAUUUUGCUGUGGGUGGCGCGACAGCGAUCGACAUCGACUUCUAUGAAAGGAGCAAACUGGUUCCGUACAAGCUUUUGAACAAUUCUCUAAACGUACAGCUGGGCUGGUUUGAGGAACUCAUGCCGGAAAUUUGCACCGCAGGGCGCAGAUAUUGCUUCAGUAACGCCCUCUUCUUCGUUGGGGAGUUUGGAGUGAAGGACUACGACUUGUUGUGGAAUGCCGGGAACACGGAAGAUGAAGUGCGGUCUUAUGUACCAAAAGUUGUGAAAAUUAUUGUCAUGGCCGUGGAGAGGCUUAUCAGCGAAGGUGCAAUAUACGUGGUUGUGCCUGGGAAUCCUCCUAACGGGUGCUCACCCAUCGUGCUAGCGACACGCUCAAGCCUCAGCAAGAUGGAGGACUACGACCAUAUUGGCUGCCUAAGAGACAUCAACCACGUGGCAAGGUACCACAACUUUGUCCUCCGUGAGGCGCUGGGCCAUCUCAAGGGCAAGUACCCCCAUGCGAGGAUCAUCUUCGCCGACUUCUACAACCCAAUAAUCUCAAUCCUUGAAAAUCCUAGCCAUUUCGGAGUCGCCGAUUCUGAUGCUCUACGGGCUUGUUGCGGAGGCGGCGGGGAGUACAACUGGAAUACUAGCGCCAUAUGUGGCAUGCCAGGCGUGACUGCCUGCAAGGACCCCACAACAUACGUGAGCUGGGAUGGAGUUCACUACACCGAGGCCACAUACCAGUACAUUGCCAAUGGAUGGCUCUAUGGUCCUUUCGCCGAUCCGCCUAUAAUGUCUGCUAUUAGCUACACGCAAGAAGACUUGAUUAAAAAUAUUACAAGCAACAUAAGGAGUUCACGAAUAUAUUAA
rnacentral:rRNA from 1 species